GCUGGUGACUCCUGGUUACAGGGCGGCAGCUUCGAUCGCACAUGGCAGACUACAAAAGAGUUGUGUUUCAGAUCGCAAAGCCGCUCACAAAUAUAUUCAGAACACACUAUGCAGCCGGUCUGUAUACAUAAGUGUUGUGUGCAGCCUGUCCGAGUGGUGAGAUGCCUUUGGAUAUACGGCGUAAAAAACAACAUUAUUUUAUUGGGUUAGGCUGAAAGGCUGUAAAGUUGAGCAUCCCACUGCGACUGUUCUAGAUGACUGUUGGGAAUAUACAAGUAGACAAGGCAGUGGUUUUGGUUGGACAGUUGGAAAAACUUGCCGAUGAGAGUGGUUGGAGGAAGUUGGAGGUUGGCCCUUCCGUGGUGAUUAAGUAUGGGGAUGUGCUUACCGUGCCUUGGUGGACCUGGAAACGACUUGUCCACCUCACCAGAUCGAGAGACAAGGAGACGUGAGCUGGCAGAGGCCGCUGAGAAGAGACAGAAAGAGAAAUUCUUCAGUCAAAGCCAAUUGUAUCCAACCCAUAAAACAUGUCGUCCUACUAAAGCAUCGAGACAACCUACAGGGGUGUCAAAAACCCCCAAGCAGUUGAGAGAAAUAAAAAGAAUAAGGAGAUGGAGAAACAAGAGAUGAGACCGUCUCUGCCUGGAGGAGGGCUGAAGUGGCAGGUAGGCUAAAGAUAGACAUGGAGAGAUCCUGGAAGUCUCAAUGUAGACUGAGGUUCAGCUAACAACAUGAAGAGUGUUGGUACCAGUUGACUUGAAAAGGCUUUUUUUGAGUGUCGGCCCUUCUACUAGAUUUUUAUUUUUAAAUGCAAGCUUUUUUUUUAGAGGCGAUUGUGUGUCUGCAUCUCUCAACUUCGUAGGAUAGUUUGCCAGGCUUCGACGCUGGUAUAAAAAAAAGUUUAAAAAAAAGAUUCUGCUGCCCAAUGUUGGCCGUGUGAAUCACAGGACAUGCCUCCCUUAAUGCCAAGAUAUACAAGAGAAUAUGCAAGCCAGCCAAUGGAGCUUUGGAACAGACAGGGUGGCGUAGCUAUGAAUAGAAUAUAAACACUCAGAGGAAAUAUGCUCUCACACUACAUCUAUAAACUGUACCAGGCACCUUGUAGUGCACUCUCUCUCUUUGUGUUCUCUUUGUCCUCUCGCCUUUCUUUCUCUCAGCCAUUUCAACUUUGCCAGCUUUAACACCAUGGCGCUUACUACUUUUGCAAUUGUUUCAGACAUUUUGAACUUUGAGGAAUAUUCUCAUUCUUGUGAUCUAUUUACUGUAUAGUAUAUUUUCCUUCUAAAAUUAUUUUAUGCAACAAAGUCCUUUUUAAUGUUCAAAAUAGGCCUAGAUGAUUCAAAUGACAUUUUCUAUUGUAGAUCAGUGUGAAAAGAACUACAUUUCCCAUAGCUACUGAUGAACCACAUGUGAACGUUUUAGAGUUCACGCACCAGCACUAUUCAGUUGACUUUUCACUUUAGUGUUUGAUUUUCAUAUGUCUGUGCAAUAAGUUAUUUGCUACACGUUGUAUUGGUUUGUAAUGGUUUAUAUCGGUUUGUAAUGUAUGAAGAAAAUGCUAUAUUUUAAAUGAGGUAAGAAGUUUGAGUUGUGAAAGCCUGAUGAAAAAGUGUUUUUUAUGCAUGAAUAUUUGUUUGUUUUUUCUCAUUUCAACCUGUACAGUAAUAUUGUUGUCAUGACAAUGUUCCAGGAAUUAUGUUAAUCCAAACAUACACCGGUGUCACAUAAUGUUCUUUCUUGGGUAUGCAGUCUGUUGUCACGAUGGUAAUAGGACUACCGUUAUUCACCAGGUUUCGGUCAAUUCCAUUUCAGUUCAGGAAGUACACUGAAAUUACAAUUAUCUGCAAUGCUUUUCAAUGAGGAACAUUUUUGGGGGAUUUACUUUCUCAAUUGAAAUGGAAUUGACCCCAACCCUGUCAUCCACUGGGGCGUACCUGUCCACAAUGAUAACUCUGCAGAUCUCAGAAGGAAAUGGGAAGAGAGCCUGAACGAGCAGGUGUUAUUGUGCACUUGGAAGUAUUGAAUUUAUACCUGCCUUGCUUUUUAUACUUGAGGUUUUCUUCCUAUACCCACCUAGUGCUUCAAGGGCUCUCGCCACUGAGGGGCAUGAAGUCGCGCCAAUGUCAUUUUGUUGAAAUAAAGUUGUCAGAUGACUGUU